UUUUUUUUUUUUUUUUUUGGGGGGGCGGGGGGGGGUGUAAGUUGCGUGGACAACACAAGCCUACAAAAAAUUUCCUCAUCCAGUGGCAAUGGCACCAUUUUCAGCGUCGCAAUGUGCCAACCGGUGCAGCAAUGCCAGUAAUCAUAUCUAUCCAUAAUGCUAUAGAAAUAAACAGAAAUGAAAUGGGGCUAGUGUUUGUCACGUGAAGUGAAAGUUUUUUUUUUUUCCAUGACAAAACAUUAUUUUAUGUUAUUAUGAUAUCACAACUCAAAUUUCAAUUAAUACAAAAUGAUGGGGUUUGCAUGUUCCUAAUGCUUCCGCAAUACAAGCAAACCAAGAACACGGUCCCUCUUUUGCCCUCAAAUAGUGGAUCCUAAUUAUGAAUAUUAAAUUGAAUUAUAACAACAUCAGGAGUCCAGUAAAAGAAUCUCUAUUUGAUUAAACUAACCUAGUUCUCCUUGCAAAGUUCUAGGCUCAUCACAUGGCUGUCUUCACAACUUGAGGCAGUGACUUAAGAAGAGAUGCGGAUGGCUUCCGCACA